CCUACGGGUGGCAGCAGUGAGGAAUAUUGGUCAAUGGACGAGAGUCUGAACCAGCCAAGCAGCGUGAAGGAUGACUGUCUUAUGGGUUGUAAACUUCUUUUUUAAAGGAAUAUAUCGAGGUAUGUGUGCCUUUUUGCAUGUACUUUAUCAAUAAGGAACGGCGAAUUCCGUGCCAGCAGCCGCGGUAAUACGGAGGAUCCGAGCGUUAUCCGGAUUUAUUGGGGUUAAUGGGAGCGUAGAUGGGUUGUUAAGUCAGUUGUGAAAGUAUGCUGCGUAACCGUAAAAUUGCAAUUGAUACUGGCAGUCUUGAGUAUAGUUGAGGUAGGUGGAAUUCGUGGUGUAGCGGUAAAAUGCGUAGAGAUCACGAAGAACACUGAUUGCGAAGGUGACUUGCUAAACUGCCACUGACGUUGAUGCUCGAAAGUGUGGGUAUCAAACAGGAUUAGAUACCCGAGUAGUC
rnacentral:rRNA from 1 species